GACAGAGGGUGCAAACGUUGUUCGGAAUUACUGGGCGUAAAGCGCGUGUAGGCUGCUCCGCAAGUCGGAUGUGAAAGCCCUGGGCUCAACCUAGGAAGUGCAUUCGAUACUGCAGAGCUUGAGUCCUGGAGAGGAAGGCGGAAUUCUCGGUGUAGAGGUGAAAUUCGUAGAUAUCAGGAGGAACACCAGUGGCGAAGGCGGCUUUCUGGACGAUAACUGACGCAUGGAGACGGCGAAAAGCGUGGGGAGCAAACAGG
rnacentral:rRNA from 1 species